rnacentral:rRNA from 1 species
UACGUAGGGUGCGAGCGUUAAUCGGAAUUACUGGGCGUAAAGCGUGCGCAGGCGGCUUUGCAAGACAGAUGUGAAAUCCCCGGGCUCAACCUGGGAACUGCAUUUGUGACUGCAAGGCUAGAGUACGGCAGAGGGGGAUGGAAUUCCGCGUGUAGCAGUGAAAUGCGUAGAUAUGCGGAGGAACACCAAUGGCGAAGGCAAUCCCCUGGGC